rnacentral:rRNA from 1 species
UACGAAGGGGGCUAGCGUUGCUCGGAAUCACUGGGCGUAAAGGGCGCGUAGGCGGACUCUUAAGUCGGAGGUGAAAGCCCAGGGCUCAACCCUGGAAUUGCCUUCGAUACUGGGAGUCUUGAGUUCGGAAGAGGUUGGUGGAACUGCGAGUGUAGAGGUGAAAUUCGUAGAUAUUCGCAAGAACACCAGUGGCGAAGGCGGCCAACUGGUCCGAUACUGACGCUGAGGAGCGAAAGCCAGGGGAGCAAACGGG